rnacentral:rRNA from 1 species
CUGGACCAUAGCAAGAGUGAACCACCUGAUCCCUUCCCGAACUCAGAAGUGAAACCUCUUAGCGCUGAUGGUAGUGUGGGAUUACCCAUGUGAGAGUAAGUCAUCGCCAGCUC